CGAUGUUUAUUUUUCAGAAAAAUAUGAAGUUUCGUUUCCCCUGUUUAUGAGAUGUAAUAAGAAUUUAGAUAUUUUAUUGUGAUUAGUCUAGCCGAGUUAGUUUAUAAAUAGUUUUACGAUGAACGAGACGGAGUUAUUGAGGCAGGAGACGGAGCAGCUCAAGAGUGCCAUCAAGGAACGACGUAACGCUGUUAACGAUGCGUCGCUUACAGAGCGUACGCAGUCCAUGAACCAAGUCGGACGCAUUGUUAUGCGUACACGACGAACACUCAGAGGACAUCUGGCAAAAAUAUACGCAAUGCAUUGGGCUUCGGAUUCGAGUAGGAACCUGGUGAGCGCUAGUCAGGAUGGAAAACUGAUUGUCUGGGAUAGUUACAGCACAAAUAAGGUGCACGCCAUACCUCUGCGUAGCUCUUGGGUUAUGACCUGCGCAUAUGCUCCUUCUGGUGCGUAUGUAGCUUGUGGAGGCUUAGACAAUGUGUGUAGUAUAUACAGUUUGAAGACCAGGGAGGGGAACGUUAGGGUCUCAAGGGAGCUCCCAGGACACACUGGGUACCUGUCUUGUUGCCGAUUUAUCGAUGAUAAUCAGAUAGUUACCUCCAGCGGAGAUAUGACCUGCGCGCUCUGGGACGUUGAGACAGGACAGCAGAUGGCUGUGUACAACGGUCAUACUGGAGAUGUUAUGUCACUAUCUCUCUCUCCGGAUCAUAGAACUUUCGUAUCAGGAGCAUGCGAUGCUUCAGCUAAGUUGUGGGAUGUCAGGGAUGGCAACUGUAAACAAACAUUUACUGGACACGAAUCCGAUAUCAACGCUGUCACGUUUUUCCCUAACGGAUACGCCUUUGCUACCGGCUCAGAUGACGCAACUUGUCGGCUCUUCGAUAUCCGUGCUGAUCAGGAGUUAUGUAUGUACAGUCAUGACAACAUAAUCUGCGGGAUAACUAGUGUAGCGUUCAGUAAGUCUGGACGUUUACUCCUGGCAGGAUACGAUGAUUUCAACUGUAAUGUCUGGGACAGUAUGCGUGCAGAGAGAGCAGGUGUCCUGGUUGGACAUGAUAACCGUGUUAGCUGCCUGGGAGUAACAGAUGAUGGUAUGGCGGUGUGCACCGGAUCCUGGGAUUCAUUCCUAAAAGUCUGGAACUAGAUUUUCAGUCGGAAGAUUGCUGACGUGCUAAUAGGAAUCGCACAAGGACGAUUUAUAUAUAUUUAGUGCAACCGCAAAUUCAAAAUUUUGCGCUCGAAGUUGCGUGAAAACUUUUCGCUAACUUCAAUACUUUCAAGAUUUGUACUGUACAUGGUCAAGUACGUUAGGUACAAUGCGUACUGAAGUGUACGUUGAUAUUAUCCAAAAUAGAAGAACGCCUUUUUUACACUUCCUUUACGCCAAUAAAGUGAACAGUUUACUUCGUCUACAGUCUUAAGUGUUUAUAUAUCUAAGUUGUUAUAUUAUGUUGUUCAAAAAUAUUUUUAAAAUAACAUUUUAUCAAUAUUUUUAUCGAUUUUUAAAUAUUUAAGUAGUUUCUGCAUUUAAUUGUUUAGAUUCUUAUGCCCCUCUCCUCCCCCAACACUGCUGAAACUUCGUCUAGAGCACAAACAAAUUUAUUUAACACAAAAACAUGAUUUGAAAAAAUAUUUAAAUCCCGCACAAUGAUGAUCCCCGCAGAAAUGUAACAGAUAUCUAUCAGGGCCUCAAUCGGUUAUAUUUAUAAUAUAAUAAUUUAUUCAAAACAUUCUUCAACGUUCAAGGAUUAUGUAAGAAUUAUUUGAGUGUUAUAUUUCUAACUGAUGAAGGCCCCAUUUUUUUUUAUCUCCGCUGAUUUAUUAUUUGUGAUUACAUCGUUGAACUAGAAAAUAGGGUGCAAGGAAUGCCUGGUGAAUAAUAGCGAUUAAAAACGAUUUAAUCGCUAUUUUCUAGAUUUUUGCGCAAUCCAGCUGUUCCUUGUACCUUUGAAAAUGUGUGGUUGAAUACGUUUUUACUAUGAGUGAUUGUUUCAAGGCUUCUCACUUCCCCCCAAACGGCUAAUAUAUCGUGAAUGCUUUGUGAACUUAUAGUGUGAGAUAACCUGUGUAAGAGGGCGUGUCUAAUUACUUACUCCGCCCUCUCACCGUAAUCAUCGUAAAAAUAAAAUAUUUCUCAACUUA
rnacentral:misc_RNA from 1 species